GACGAACGCUGGCGGCGUGCUUAACACAUGCAAGUCGAACGGAAAGGCCCUGCUUUUGUGGGGUGCUCGAGUGGCGAACGGGUGAGUAACACGUGAGUAACCUGCCCUUGACUUUGGGAUAACUUCAGGAAACUGGGGCUAAUACCGGAUAGGAGCUCCUGCUGCAUGGUGGGGGUUGGAAAGUUUCGGCGGUUGGGGAUGGACUCGCGGCUUAUCAGCUUGUUGGUGGGGUAGUGGCUUACCAAGGCUUUGACGGGUAGCCGGCCUGAGAGGGUGACCGGCCACAUUGGGACUGAGGUACGGCCCAGACUCCUACGGGAGGCAGCAGUGGGGAAUAUUGCACCAUGGGCGGAAGCCUGAUGCAGCAACGCCGCGUGCGGGAUGACGGCCUUCGGGUUUGAAACCGCUUUCGCCUGUGACGAAGCGUGAGUGACGGUAAUGGGUAAAGAAGCACCGGCUAACUACGUG
rnacentral:rRNA from 1 species